UACGUAGGGUGCAAGCGUUGUCCGGAAUUAUUGGGCGUAAAGAGCUCGUAGGCGGUCUGUCGCGUCGGCUGUGAAAUCCCGAGGCUCAACCUCGGGUCUGCAGUCGAUACGGGCAGGCUAGAGUUCGGUAGGGGAGACUGGAAUUCCUGGUGUAGCGGUGAAAUGCGCAGAUAUCAGGAGGAACACCGGUGGCGAAGGCGGGUCUCUGGGCCGGAACUGACGCUGAGGAGCGAAAGCGUGGGGAGCGAACAGG
rnacentral:rRNA from 1 species